AUUAUACUAGGUCUUGCCAUCUUCAUAUAUAUGCUAAUAUGCCCACAUUUGGUGCUUACUAGGUUUUAACCCGCGGUUUACCGCGGGCAAUCGGUUUAUUUGGUUCUUAUACUAAAUAUUUGAAUAAAUUUGAUAUCCUAAACAUAUAAAUAUAAAUUUCUAGUGAUUAGUGAAGAAUAUUGAUAUUAUUGAUUAUUGAUUUCAUGAUUGAAUAGAGUGUUUUUAGGGAUGGAAUGUGAUCAUCUUUUGAUUUCAAAAACGACAUAGAUUCCUUAUUUUUGUUGAACGGUUUAGAUUGAAGGAAAAUAAUAUUAUUAAACGGUUUAGAUUGAACUGAAUCAUAUAAAGUUUAGGAGAUUGUUAAGACCAAAUUACCCUUAAUGAUUUUGAAUAGCAAAGAACAAAAUCCAAAAUUGAAAUCAAAAUUGAGGUUAAAUUAGACAAAAUUUCAAUUUGUACUUCCCUUUUAAUAAUAAAGGGAUAAUCUUUCGGUAUAUAGUUUUUUUUUGCAUUUACUAAAUUUGUUUAAAUUGCUUGAUAUUCUACAUUAUAAAUU
rnacentral:sRNA from 1 species